rnacentral:rRNA from 1 species
ACAUCCAGAGAACUUAGCAGAGAUGCUUUGGUGCCUUCGGGAACUCUGAGACAGGUGCUGCAUGGCUGUCGUCAGCUCGUGUUGUGAAAUGUUGGGUUAAGUCCCGCAACGAGCGCAACCCUUAUCCUUUGUUGCCAGCGAUUCGGUCGGGAACUCAAAGGAGACUGCCGGUGAUAAACCGGAGGAAGGUGGGGAUGACGUCAAGUCAUCAUGGCCCUUACGGCCAGGGCUACACACGUGCUACAAUGGCGCAUACAAAGAGAAGCGACCUCGCGAGAGCAAGCGGACCUCAUAAAGUGCGUCGUAGUCCGGAUUGGAGUCUGCAACUCGACUCCAUGAAGUCGGAAUCGCUAGUAAUCGUAGAUCAGAAUGCUACGGUGAAUACGUUCCCGGGCCUUGUACACACCGCCCGUCACACCAUGGGAGUGGGUUGCAAAAGAAGUAGGUAGCUUAACCUUCGGGAGGGCGCUUACCACUUUGUGAUUCAUGACUGGGGUGAAGUCGUAACAAGGUAGGCGUACUACA